UGUGGCAGUUCAGCUGCUGUUCUAUUACUCCAGGAGAACAAUGUGAGAGUCCAAGGUUUGAUUGAUCUGGGGACAAGAAGAUGAAGAAAGGAUGGGAGUACAGGUGACAUGGAUAUGGCAGAUGCCUGAACAGACAGUCUGGACAGAGCUUGCAAACUGGAAAAAGAAAAGAUACAGAACCAGAAAGGGUCAUUAAGUGGGAAGAAAAUAAACCCCCAAGAAGCUUUAUUGUUUAGCCAUAAUUAUUUAUCUUACAUCAUAGCAAGUUGAGAAAAUGACAAGAAAUCAAGAGAAUGAACUUUGGACUAAAUGAUGGAAAAUGUACAAGGAGCAAUCAUUGAAGAGACUAAACAACAUACAAAUACAUACUUGUUUAAUUGGGUAUCUUUUCAGUUCUCUCUGACCUUGAGAUCCUGUGGAUGAUAGCUAUGUAUCAGGUCUAUUCCUCAAUGUGAAAAAACAAUGAAGUCCAUAACAUUAACCAGCUCUUCUUUGAAUCAUCUAUCAGUCAAAAUUGUACACUUAUUUGUCACAGCAAAGGAAAAAAGCAUCCCUCCUACUUCAUUUCUGCCUUCAGAGGCUUGCAGGAAAUUAAAAAAAAAGAAAAGCGUUCUGAGUAGUAUUUCUGACAGCAAAUUUCUCAGAAUCUAGAAAUACUUAUUUUCUCUGUAAUAAGUUGCCACAGAUACAAAGGAGCACUUAUGAUUGAUGACUAUCUCCGUUUGCAUGAGUGAUAAAUCCUGAAUACACAGUUCUUGAUUAAAAUACAAAUGCAUUUUCA